GGAAGUAAAAGUCUAACAAGGUUUCCGUAGGUGAACCUGCGGAGGGAUCAUUAAUGUAACCGGACCUUACCGGUGCCGUAAGACGCAUCGGUUUGGAAAGGGAGAUAUCAUACACCCUGUGUUUAUUUACCUUUGUUGCUUUGGCGGGCCGUCCUUUCAGGCGUCGGCCCCAGCUGAUCGCGCCCGCCAGAGGACCCAAACUCUUUUAUCAGUGAUGUCUGAGUACUAUAUAAUAGUCAAAACUUUCAACAACGGAUCUCUUGGUUCUG
rnacentral:misc_RNA from 1 species